UACGUAGGAAGCGAGCGUUGUUCGGAUUUACGGGGCGUAAAGGGUGUGUAGGCGGUUGUUUAAGUUUGGUGUGAAAUCUCCCGGCUCAACCGGGAGGGUGCGCCGAAUACUGAGUGACUAGAGUGCGGGAGAGGAAAGUGGAAUUCCUGGUGUAGCGGUGAAAUGCGUAGAUAUCAGGAGGAACACCGGUGGUGUAGACGGCUUUCUGGACCGUAACUGACGCUGAGACACGAAAGCGUGGGUAGCAAACAGG
rnacentral:rRNA from 1 species